GCCUCGAUAGCUCAGUCGGUAGAGCAGAGGACUUAAAAUCCUCGUGUCGCUGGUUCGAUUCCGGCUCGAGGCACCA
rnacentral:tRNA from 1 species